rnacentral:piRNA from 1 species
UAGCUUCUGGUGUUUCAGAGACCAA